CCUAAAUCUAAACCCCUGUUUACAGAAGAUGGGAAGCCCAUUUGCUUUAAAUGUAAAGGGGUGGGACACAUUUCAAGGGAGUGUAUGCAGCGCAGGACAGGGGGCCAGCCUUCUGCUACAAGUGCAUCUGUUCAGGAAAACUAGGUUCCUCGGUUGCCAAGAGCCGGGCAAUUCGAGGUGAGGCUAAAGGCUCUGAGACUCUUAGCCGUGAGAGGUUUAUGGAGAGGGCUGUGGGUAAAUGUAGGGAAGUUGCAGUCAAGAUUGGUGAGGUACCAGUUAGAUGCCUGUUGGAUACAGGAAGCCAGGUUAGCACCAUUUCUGAGUCUUUCUUCAAACAGCAGCUGUUAGGUCGUGAGGAGGAUGUAUUUCCCGCAGCCAAGUGGUUAAAACUAACCGCAGCAAAUUCUUUGCCAAUCCCCUACAUUGGGUAUGUUGAACUUGACAUGGAAGCUAUGGGGCUGAACAUACCAGAGUGCGGGUUCCUAAUUGUCAAAGAUCAUAUCCAAGAGGAGGCGGGAGGUGAGGGCAAAGAGUUAAACCAGUCACGGACACAGAGUCAUCAGGAAGCAGCGCAGGGUCUCAUUGGGAUGAACAUAAUCAAGAGGUGCAAGCAGUUGGUUACAGCGGAGUUUGACACAACUCUUAAGUGGGAGCUGGAUCCAGAUUGGGGGGAAGUGUUUCAACGAGUACAGACAUGUGAGGUGUUAGAAAAGACAACCACAGCGAGGCUUGCAAGCAGACAUGUAGUCCGAGUACCUGCUAGUUCUGUUGCCACAGUUUAUGCAAAGGGCCUUCAACCCACGUCUGAUGAUAGCACCUCUCUGUUGGUGGAGCCAGCUAAGACCCCAUUGCCAGGUGGUAUUGCGGUUCUUCCGACAUUAGUAAAGGCCACUAAACCUUUGUUCCCUAUACAGGUAGUUAACUUUUCUCAGGAGGAUGUGUGGUUGCGUCCCCGGACCAGGUUAGGAAUUUUAUCUCAGGUGGAGUGUGUUGACAACGAUCAGACCGAGGUAUGUUUCCAGCGUAUAUCAGCUGACCAGGAAGAAGUUACGGUAGGCCAGCAAGGAAGGCAGACAUCAGACCUUGACUUUCAGGAAGUGCUAAACAAACUGCACCUAGGAGGCACCGAAGAGGAGCAAGCUAAGUUAGCUGCGCUUUUAGCUCAGUAUGCUAAUGUGUUUGCUCUCCAGGAUGAGGACUUAGGUUACACAGACCGAGUCAAGCAUGAGAUCCAUCUGGUAGAUGAUGCACCUGUGGCCCAACCCUACCGUCGCAUACCACCUACACAGUAUAACGAGGUUAGAGAGCACAUAAAAAAGCUUCUUAAGAAGGGUGUUAUCCAGGAAAGCACGAGUGCUUACGCUUCUCCAGUGGUCCUAGUUAGGAAGGCUGAUGGCAGUCUGCGACUGUGCGUGGACUACAGAAAGCUAAACGCUAAGACUCGACGUGAUGCUUUCCCAUUACCACGGAUUGAUGAGUGUUUUGAUGCUCUGCAUGGUGCACGGUUCUUUUCAACUAUUGAUCUCGCUAGUGGGUAUCACCAGGUGGCUGUAAAUGAAGAUGACAGGCCUAAGACCGCUUUCACAACACCUUUUGGGCUGUACGAGUAUUCUCGGUUGCCUUUUGGGGUAUGCAACGGGC
ensembl:lncRNA